UACGUAGGGUGCAAGCGUUAAUCGGAAUACUGGGCGUAAAGCGUGCGCAGGCGGUGAUGUAAGACAGUUGUGAAAUCCCCGGGCUCAACCUGGGAACUGCAUCUGUGACUGCAUCGCUGGAGUGCGGCAGAGGGGGAUGGAAUUCCGCGUGUAGCAGUGAAAUGCGUAGAUAUGCGGAGGAACACCGAUGGCGAAGGCAAUCCCCUGGGCCUGCACUGACGCUCAUGCACGAAAGCGUGGGGAGCAAACAGGAU
rnacentral:rRNA from 1 species